rnacentral:rRNA from 1 species
GUGGGGAAUAUUGGACAAUGGGCGCAAGCCUGAUCCAGCCAUACCGCGUGGGUGAAGAAGGCCUUCGGGUUGUAAAGCCCUUUUGUUGGGAAAGAAAUCCUGUCGGUUAAUACCUGGCGGGGAUGACGGUACCCAAAGAAUAAGCACCGGCUAACUUCGUGCCAGCAGCCGCGGUAAUACGAAGGGUGCAAGCGUUACUCGGAAUUACUGGGCGUAAAGCGUGCGUAGGUGGUGGUUUAAGUCCGUUGUGAAAGACCUGGGCUCAACCUGGGAAUUGCAGUGGAUACUGGAUCACUAGAGUGUGGUAGAGGGAUGCGGAAUUUCUGGUGUAGCAGUGAAAUGCGUAGAGAUCAGAAGGAACAUCCGUGGCGAAGGCGGCAUCCUGGGCAAACACUGACACUGAGGCACGAAAGCGUGGGGAGCAAACAGGAUUAGAAACCCCUGUAGUCC